ensembl:lncRNA
GGGGUAUGCAGCAGUCUCCAUACUGAUGCCUGGUUGGGGCUUUGAAGGAUGCAUAGGAGUUAGGUGCAGAAGGGGCAGGGAGGAUGGUCCAGCAGAAGGAACAGCCGUGCAUAGGCAGAGAGGCCUGAGCUGACUCAAAGGGUUUGGGGAAUUACAGGUGGUUCAGUCCGGCAGGAGCAGAAAGCAGAAGCACCGGGAGGUGAGGUGGCCAGAGACGAGGCUCGAGGCGAGGAGGGCCUGACUGGUUCUGCUCAGUGAUUAGGGCUCUGUGCUUGACGCCGUCCCUGCCCUCCAGGGCGUUUCCUGAGCUGUGGAGAUGAGCCAUGUCAUCAAGAAAUGAUGAUGGGAGCUUCUCUGGCAGUCCAGUGAUUAAGACUCUGCACUUCCAAUGCAGGAGGAACAGGUUCGAUCCCUGGUUGGGGAACUAAGAUCCCAUAUGCUGUGCAAUGAGGUAAAAAGAAAAAAAAAAGAUGAAAAAUCCGCUGACACGCAGGUACCAGUGUGGGAAUGGGAGAGGAGGAAAGUCUGCCCUGGGUCCGGGAGGGAUGGGUUAUAGCAGAGACUUCCUGGAGGAGGGGCUAUCCUGCUGGAGUUAACAGGAAGAAGAGGUGUCUGAACGAAGGUAGAGAGGUUUGAAAGAAAGUACUAGGUGUAUUUGAGGGACAUGAAGAAAAUGAAUGGGUGGCGAGAAAGAUCAGCAAAGCAUACGUGAUGUUCAGCCCUGCCCACCAAAUGCCCCUUUGGAGUCUGACCUUAGUUCACAUUCUGACUUUCUGCUGGCUGGCUGUGUGGCCUCGUGCAAGUCACUAAACCUCUCUGAGCCCCAGUUUCCUUCUCACCUGUAAACUGGGUGGAAACGAAUGAUGAUAACCUCCUAGAGUUCUGAUGAGGGAUUGACUCACUCUGGUACCAUCACAAGAUCUUGGCCGUGUCAGCCAACCACCUUAACCAGGGGUCAGAAAACUUUUUCUGUAAAGGAUCAAAUAAUAAGUAUUUUAAACAUUGUGGGCUAUUUGGUCUCUUUUGCAACUACUUAGCUCUGCCGUUGUGGCAGGAGAGCGGCCUUAGGUAAAAUGUAAAUCAAUAAACAUGGAUGUGUGCCAAUUCAACUUGGUUUCUGGACCCUGAAAUUUGAACUUCAUAUAUUUGUCACGUAUCACAAAAUAUUCUUCACGUUUUAUUCUCCACUCCCUUCCCCCAGACUGGGCUCCCUCUGUUACAGAGCAGUUUCUACAGUCAUUAAAAACAUUUUCAGGUCAUGAACCAUACAAAGUCUGGCAGUGCAACAGAGUCGGCAUGCAGGCCACAGUUUGCUGACCUCUGACCCAGAUUAUUAUUUCUUUAGUAUUUUCUUUAGUAUCAUUGACAUAUACUCACUAAUAGAUAGCUAGUGGGUAGCUGCUGUAUAACACACGGCGCCCAGUCUGGGGCUCUGUGAUGGCCUAGAGGGGUGGAAUUGGGAGGGGGGAAGGGAGGCUCAAGAGGAAGGGGAGAUAUAUAUAUAUAUAAAAUUAUGACUUUGCGUUGUGUGGCAGGAACCAAUACAAUAUUCUAAAGCAAUUCUUCUCUAACUAAAAAAAAAAAAAUAUUUUCUUUAGAUUCACCUUGUAUUACUUAAAUAAAUUCAUUUGAAAAGGAAAAUUUACAUCCCUUAAUAGAAGAUGAUGGUGAAAAUAACCCUAGAAAAGCAAACUGGCAUCAUUAGAUUUUCACCAGGUCCAGCCCAAGGGUCCAAGCCUGGGGUCUGUUCUGUCUGUGCUAAAGAGACAUGGAGAGGUUCCAGGGACAAACAGAAUGAGAUAGACUUUCUCCUGGUCAAAUUUAAAGAAAAAAAUGUGGGAAAAGAAUGACUAAGAGGUCAUCUCACUGUUUAAUGCCGCAUCCUGUACGGCCUAACGUCCUCUUGUGGGAGGCGCCACUGGAAAUACCAUCUCUGCGCCCGGACCUGGUCAUGGAGACCACUGAUGGCAUGUGCUGAGUUCUAAUCACGGGAGGCAAAACGCUGCCUCUGACCUGCUGUGAGCCAGCCUCUACCAGUGUUCUGAAAUCACCUAAUGACAAGUUGAUGGCCUGUGCAGGGAAUUAUUACUGUUAAUAAAAUACUAAUCAUAGUAAUGGGGAUGAAUUUGGGCUGAUGAGACCUUAGUGCCCGAAGGCCGCCAAGCAUCUUUGAAAAGUAUCGUUAAAAUAAUAAUUAAAAUUGCAGCAAGAGUGACUCAAGGUCAUGAAAGCAAGUGAGGCCCUGUGGAAGAGGCCGCAGAGAAAGUCUUGGGAUCCCACCUGCCCUGCUCCAGGCAGAGGCCUGCAAGAGGCUCUUGAAGAUGAGAUCAACAGAGUUGGAAAUUUGUUGGAGGUGUUGAGGCCCCUAAUGAGAUGAUGACUUUUAAAGAUUAAUUAAUGGCGGCGCUCAAUCUAUGUUGCUGUGCUUGGACUUUCCCUAGUUAUGGGGAGCAGGGGCUGCUCUUCGCUGCCACGCAUGGGCUUCGCAUUUCGGGGGCUUCCCUUGCGGGGAACAGGCUCUAGGGUGCCCGGGUUUCCUUAGUUGUGGCCUGUGGUCUAUGAUGUGGGCUCAGUAGCCUGGUGUAUAGGUUUCAUUGCUCCGUGGCACGCAGGAUCCUCCUGGACCAGGGACUGAACUCACUGUCCACGGCACUAGCAGGCGGACUCCUAACCGCUGGGCCACCAGGGAAGUCCCAGGAUGAUGACUUGACGCGGGGCCUCUCCCUGGGGGCUCCUGGACCUUGCGGGCCUCAUCUGAGUAAUGCAGAUAACGACACCUUAUGUGCAGGAGGAGGGGCUGGACCGUAAGUGCCCUGGCGGUCCUCGUCCCCUGCUGCCAGCUCUUCUCAGCUGGGAGACGGAUCCUGACGCCCUGGUCAUUUCAUCAGCCAGGUGCCCUCCACCUGGGAGAAAACACUGAAGGGUUGCAAACUUGCUCCCUGGGGGCCAGAUCUAGCCCUUAGAUGUAUUUUUUUCUCACCAGUAAAGUUAAAAUUUAGGAUACAACCUUUGGGACUUAUUACAUAUUAUGAAGUAACGUAGCAGACAGAAGCAUGCACGGCAGGUACCUUUAUAGCUCAGUGAACGGCCACACAGCAAACAACUGCAGCACUGGCCAGGCCAAGAGCAAGAGCCCCGCAGGCACCCUGGACGUCCUUGGGUCUCCUCCAAUCGGUUGGCACCAUUAAAAAUUUUUUAAGUGAUUGCGUGAUACUGUUUUUUUUCCUGACACCAAACUGUGUGCUUUUCUCCCAUACCAAUUAUACAAUUCUUCAACACCAACUAAGCGUCCCACAGUUCAAUUCAGUUCUGACAUCAGAAUUAGCACAGACUCCACAGGUUCAGGGCACGGACCGCACAAGACUGUCCCCGUUUCAGAGGACAAUCGCGAAUUCCAGGGGCCACCUGCGCUUCUCCCCAGCCAGGUAUAAGUCCGGGUUUAAAUCCACAGCCUCCUCCUUAGGUGGAAGUCACGCGUCUGUGGGGUGGUGUCGUGAGGGAUGUGGGGCCCGCUCGGAUCCUGGGGGAGGAGCUUUGCACUGUGGGGGCAGCAUGGAUCUGGGAGUCAGAUAAGCCUGGUUUCAACCUUUGGGCCGCCACCCUGGACAAGCCCAGUCUUCCGGGCCUCAGGUUCCCUCUCUAUAACUUGGGCACAACGACUGCCGCCUCACAGGGUCACUGUUAGGACUGAGUAAGUGCUGAGUGGAAGCUCCAUAAAUGGUUCGUCACUGCACCCAGCCCAAGCAGAGGUGUUGCAAGAAACCGGGGGGUCCCAUCUCUGCCUCCUUCAAAACCAAGUUCAAGGCUACCUCCUUCAGGAAGCCUCUCCGGCUUCCCAGCGGCCCCACUGCCCUCGUCUUUGCUUUCGAAUUCCCCGGACUUUGGUUUAAGGACAGCAUCCCCUCCUGCCGCUGCUGCCCCUCCCAGCCUCCGGGAGCACUCUGCCCCUUGUCAUUCAUCACUUUUGACGCUCUGUGGGUGUCGCUGGGUCGCAGAGCCUCCUUGGGGGCGGGGUUGUGGGAGAGAGUAGACAGUAGGGUCUACAGGUUCUGCAGACCCUCUCCCACCCCACGCCUGCUCCGGGGCUCAGCAGAGGGCAUGCCUUGCUGGUGGUGGACUUCGGUCUGUCUCUUGUCCCUUCUUGGCAAGGAAAUAUAAGAGGAUGACUUUUCUUUUGCCAGAGAAUAUAACUGGGGGUUGCACACCUGUCUCGUUUAACAGGCCCCAAGGUUUUUUUUUUUCCUAAUGGAGAGCCUGGUGGGCUGCCGUCUCUGGGGUCGCACAGAGUCGGACACGACUGACGUGACUUAGCAGCAGCAGCAAAAAGAAACCAAAACACAAGUGCCAACAGCUCAACCGGUUAUUUACCUAAACUCAUCUUUGUUGAGCACCUAUUAUGUGCCAUGCAUCAUGCUGGGAUAUGGAGGUACACUGCUGAACUUGACCUAGUAUUGGCACAAGAUCCUCGACCUGAUGGAAGAAUCCCAUGGACAGAGGAGCCUGGCAGGCUACAGUCCAUAAGGUCGCAAAGAGUGGGAGACGACUGAACGACCAACACCUUAAGAGACCCCAGGAGACUGGAGAACUUGUCUUUUUAGGGUGGUAAAUCUGAAAACAGAUUUGAAUGAAUAAAUGAAUGCGUCUUUGGGUCGGCGCCGCCCUCUAGAUCUGUUCUGCCCUCAAGUGCCCCGCACGCGGUUGAUGAAAUGGACCCCCACUCUGGGGCCAGCUGCAUCUCAGCCUGUACGGUGGUGGGGAGGUCAUCAUUCGGGGCCGGGGAGUGGUAGCAGCCCAGGCUGAGCUUGCGGGUGUCACAUGCCGGAGGAUCUCAGCUCAGUUUCCCUGCGCAGGUCCCCAGCAUCCGCGCGGUGCGUCUUUGGGCCCGAGGACCAGCCGGCUCGGCAUAGCCCAGGCCGAUCUCGGGACGAGAAGCUGGGGUAAGCGGUGGAGGAUCCCUCCUGGGUCCACUGCGUGGGCGACGUGCCGGUGCAAGCGCCGCCUCAUCCGGGGAAGGUCGAUCGAGGCCGCGCCACGCUGGACUGGGGGUGGGUGCUAAUGCACCUUCGGAUGCUCUGGUCCCCAGCCCUUCCGGACCGAGGUCCCCUCACUCCGCGGGAAUCGGGGACCGCGGGAGCUGGGGUGGCUGAAAGAACAGGGUAGCCUCCUUGGCAAAGACCGCGGGGGAGGAGACUCCCUGGCGAGGGAAGCGAGCGCUGCCGAGGCCGCCGGUCCCUUUAAGAGGCCGGGCUGGCUCUGCGGAGAUCCCACCUGACCGCCUGCCUGGUGCAGUUCUGCGGGCCGUGUCCCCGGGAGAAGGAUCGGAGCCGGGCCGGGCCACAGGACCCGGCGCAGGGGAGGGAGGGG